CAGUAGCCACGGGAAUACGAAGGGUGCAAGCGUUAAUCGGAAUUACUGGGCGUAAAGCGUGCGUAGGCGGUUUGUUAAGUCUGCUGUGAAAUCCCCGGGCUCAACCUGGGAAUGGCAGUGGAUACUGGCAAGCUAGAGUGUGUCAGAGGAUGGUGGAAUUCCCGGUGUAGCAGUGAAAUGCGUAGAGAUCGGGAGGAACAUCAGUGGCGAAGGCGGCCAUCUGGGACAACACUGACGCUGAGGCACGAAAGCGUGGGGAGCAAACAGGAUUAGAGACCCCUGUAGUCCCUGUCUCUUAUAA
rnacentral:rRNA from 1 species